rnacentral:rRNA from 1 species
CAGUAGCCGCGGUAAUACAGAGGGUGCAAGCGUUAAUCGGAAUUACUGGGCGUAAAGCGCGCGUAGGUGGCUCGCCAAGUUGGAUGUGAAAUCCCCGGGCUCAACCUGGGAACUGCAUCCAAAACUGGCGAGCUAGAGUAUGGUAGAGGGUGGUGGAAUUUCCUGUGUAGCGGUGAAAUGCGUAGAUAUAGGAAGGAGCAUCAGUGGCGAAGGCGACCACCUGGACUGAUACUGACACUGAGGUGCGAAAGCGUGGGGAGCAAACAGGAUUAGAUACCCGAGUAGUCCCUGUCUCUUAUAC